rnacentral:rRNA from 1 species
UACGAAGGGGGCUAGCGUUGUUCGGAAUCACUGGGCGUAAAGCGCGCGUAGGCGGAUUGCCCAGUCAGGGGUGAAAGCCCGGGGCCCAACCCCGGAAUUGCCUUUGAAACUGGCAGUCUAGAAUCUCGGAGGGGGUAGUGGAAUUCCAAAUGUAGGGGUGAAAUCCGUAGAUAUUUGGAGGAACACCGGUGGCGAAGGCGGCUACCUGGACGAGUAUUGACGCUGAGGUGCGAAAGCGUGGGGAGCAAACAGG